rfam:Syntrophomonas wolfei subsp. wolfei str. Goettingen, complete genome.
UAACUGAAUAAUCUCCGAGCUGUACUGCCUUCAGUCACGGCUAAUGGUAUACAGUCGAUAGGUGCAACUGAAAACGGCUGUGCCUCCCUUUUGGAAAGGAGAGUAUUUAUCCUGGGU